rnacentral:rRNA from 1 species
UUGGAGGGCAAGUCUGGUGCCAGCAGCCGCGGUAAUUCCAGCUCCAAUAGCGUAUAUUAAAGUUGUUGCAGUUAAAAAGCUCGUAGUUGAAUUUCGGGAUUGACACGUCGGUCGUGCCUUAAGGGGUAUGAACUGGCGUAGUCAAUUUCUCACCUUCUGGAGAACCGCGAUGUCCUUAAUUGGGUGCCGCGAGGAACCAGGACCUUUACUUUGAAAAAAUUAGAGUGUUUAAAGCAGGCAUUUUGCUUGAAUACAUUAGCAUGGAAUAAUAAAAUAGGACGGCAUGAUUCUAUUUUGUUGGUUUCUAGGAUCACCGUAAUGAUUAAUAGGGAUAGUUGGGGGCAUUAGUAUUCAAUUGUCAGAGGUGAAAUUCUUGGAUUUAUUGAAGACUAACUACUGCGAAAGCAUUUGCCAAGGAUGUUUUCAUUAAUCAAGAACGAAAGUUAGGGGAUCGAAGACGAUCAGACACCGUCGUAGUCUUAACCAUAAACUAUGCCGACUAGGAAUCAGACGAUGUUAAUUUUUUAAUGACUCGUUUGGCACCUUACGGGAAACCAAAGUGUUUGGGUUC